UCGGUUUUUAGAUGGGCUCACGGCCUAUCAGCUUGUUGGUGAGGUAAUGGCUUACCAAGGCGACGACGGGUAGCCGGCCUGAGAGGGUGACCGGCCACACUGGGACUGAGACACGGCCCAGACUCCUACGGGAGGCAGCAGUGGGGAAUAUUGCACAAUGGGCGCAAGCCUGAUGCAGCGACGCCGCGUGAGGGAUGACGGCCUUCGGGUUUGUAAACCUCUGUUAGCAUCGAAGAAGCGAAAGUGACGGUAGGUGCAGAGAAAGCGCCGGCUAACUACGUGCCAGCAGCCGCGGUAAUACGUAGGGCGCGAGCGUUGUCCGGAAUUAUUGGGCGUAAAGAGCUUGUAGGCGGUUGGUCGCGUCUGCUGUGAAAGGCUGGGGCUUAACCCUGGUUUUGCAGUGGGUACGGGCUAACUAGAGUGCAGUAGGGGAGACUGGAAUUCCUGGUGUAGCGGUGGAAUGCGCAGAUAUCAGGAGGAACACCGAUGGCGAAGGCAGGUCUCUGGGCUGUAACUGACGCUGAGAAGCGAGAGCAUGGGGAGCGAACAGGAUUAGAUACCCUGGUAGUCCAUGCCGUAAACGUUGGGCACUAGGUGUGGGGGACAUUCCACGUUUUCCGCGCCGUAGCUAACGCAUUAAGUGCCCCGCCUGGGGAGUACGGCCGCAAGGCUAAAACUCAAAGAAAUUGACGGGGGCCCGCACAAGCGGCGGAGCAUGCGGAUUAAUUCGAUGCAACGCGAAGAACCUUACCAAGGCUUGACAUAUACUGGACUGCGUCAGAGAUGGCGUUUCCCUUCGGGGCUGGUAUACAGGUGGUGCAUGGUUGUCGUCAGCUCGUGUCGUGAGAUGUUGGGUUAAGUCCCGCAACGAGCGCAACCCUCGUUCUAUGUUGCCAGCACGUGAUGGUGGGGACUCAUAGGAGACUGCCGGGGUCAACUCGGAGGAAGGUGGGGAUGACGUCAAAUCAUCAUGCCCCUUAUGUCUUGGGCUUCACGCAUGCUACAAUGGCCGGUACAGAGGGUUGCGAUACUGUGAGGUGGAGCUAAUCCCUAAAAGCCGGUCUCAGUUCGGAUUGGGGUCUGCAACUCGACCCCAUGAAGUCGGAGUCGCUAGUAAUCGCAGAUCAGCAACGCUGCGGUGAAUACGUUCCCGGGCCCUUGUACACACCGCCCGUC
rnacentral:rRNA from 1 species